AGCGAACGCUGGCGGCAUGCUUAACACAUGCAAGUCGCACGGCGGGGGCAACUCCGUCAGUGGCGGACGGGUGAGUAACGCGUAGGAAUCUAUCCUUGGAAUGGGGGACAACCGUGGGAAACUACGGCUAAUACCGCAUGAUGCCUGAGGGCCAAAGACGAAAGUCGUUUGAGGAGGAGCCUGCGUCUGAUUAGGUAGUUGGUGGGGUAAAGGCCUACCAAGCCUGCGAUCAGUAGCUGGUCUGAGAGGAUGAUCAGCCACAUUGGGACUGAGACACGGCCCAAACUCCUACGGGAGGCAGCAGUGGGGAAUAUUGGACAAUGGGCGAAAGCCUGAUCCAGCAAUGCCGCGUGUGUGAAGAAGGUCUUCGGAUUGUAAAGCACUUUUGGCAGGGACGAUGAUGACGGUACCUGCAGAAUAAGCCCCGGCUAACUUCGUG
rnacentral:rRNA from 1 species